GGACAAGCCGGCAGCCGGAAGAGGAGCAGAGGCUCUUUCCAGCAGCAACGGCAGCCCAUGCAAAGGCCCUGUGGCAGGCCGGAGGGAGCCGGGGAGCGGGAAGACCCAGAGGGCGCCUGGGAAGCAUCUUGGAAUUCUGAACACAGCAGCUGUUGCCCUCCCGGCCACACUCUGUCCUCCAGAUGUCGGCAGAAGGGAAAAAGACCACGGACUUCUAUAACAGACUUUUUUUUUUUUUUUUUUUUGAGACAUAGUUUCGCUCUGUAUCACAGGCUGGAGUGUAGUGGCGUGAUCUCGGCUCACUGCAAACUCCGCCUCCUGGUGUCAGUUCAAGCGAUUCUCCUGCCUCAGCCUCCCGUGUAGCUGGGAUUACAGGCAUGUAAUUACCAUGCCCAGCUAAUUUUCAUAUUUUUAGAAGAGACGGGGUUUUGCCAUGUUGGCCAGGCUGGUCUUGAACUCCUGACCUCGUGAUCCGCCUGCCUCAGACUCUGAAAGUAUGGGGAUUACAGGCGUAAGUCACCGCGCCCGGCCCACAGAUUUUUUUUAAAGAAAGUGUCUGUAAUCUGAGAAAGCGUGCAGUCGCCAGGCAUCCCACGGACAAUUUGCAGACCAGUUGGAGCCUCUCCAGCACCCGGGCGGGCAUUUUCCAGCUCAAGGUCUGGGACGGAGGCUGCCUCCCACCGCUUUCCGUUCACUCCAGCCCAUCGGAUGGCGUGCCCACCUUGUCCUUGGGGGCUCUGUGUCCCCUGGGCUGCUGCCCACUGACUUGCACGCUCCACGUCCGGCGGGACAGGUGCCCGCACGCCUGGAACAUGGAUGCUCCCUGCUCUGAACAUCCAUCUGCCGGAAGAUGAGGCAGCUGAGGCCGCGUUCACGCAGCCGGAGCGGGGACCACCUCAACGCGACGUGAGGGCCUCCACCGAGAAAGGACAUAAACGGCAGACGGUCCAGUGAGACGAGACGGGAAAUCGUCCUGAGAGCGGUGAUGCCGUGAUGCGCGCCCUUCGCUGAGCGUCAGAGAGAAGCCCAGGACGGUUGGAAACCGGCAUUGAGAUGGUUUAAUUCAACUCCAGAACGUUCAGAUGUAUUGUUUCUAAUCCUCCAGGUCUCUGGAAAAUUUGCUUCUGGUUUUCGCUGUUUCCUUUUUUCUUUUUUUGGCCGGGGUUGUUUUUAAGGGCAAUGCUUUUCUUUGACAAAGAGCUGCGGGGAGAGAGUACAAGUGACCUCCUAGCUCAGCCAUCAUGUGGCGGAACCCAAGAAGGUGGGGUGGGCUUCUCGGGGUCUCCCACGGAUUUCAGCAUCCCCCACGCUGCCCAGGGGAAGGAGGACGUCGGCAGUGGGGCCCGGCAUGGCAGCGAUGGGACAGGCACGCCCUGACUGGUCCUCAGCUCCCUGUAGCAGUGGGGCCCGUGGCUGGUCUGCCAGAAUCUGGACCAAGGGCUGGUGGACAGAGUCCUCUCCUGGCAAAGCCUGGAGAGCCAGCCGUGGCGGUCACUGCCUGGUGUCCAGUGAGACCCCUUCUCCCAGCCAGCUCUGGGUUCUGCUGCUACGUGUGGCCUGUGAGCCGGGGACCCAGGUCACCGCCACCAAGGAGGCUGCCCACGCGGCCAGGAAGCCAGGCCCCGGGAAUAUGCAGACAAGAGGGGCGUCCCUGCCUAGACUGGCCCCUGCAGGGAUCGGCCUCCAGGGCAGGCAACAGGGCCUCUCACUGACACAGGCUCGGGCCCUGCCUGGCCAGAAUGCUUCUUCCCUGGGAGCAGCCUCGGUGGGGCCCCAUUGAGCCGCAGACUCAAGGGCAGGACGGAGCCCGGUAGGUCGCCCCGAAGCAUGGCGGGCUCUCACCUUUGUCCUGCCAUGGAGUCAGAGACACGAGACCCUGGAGUGGGGAGCAGGUGAGUGUCCUUUGCUCCUGCCUAGCAUCCAGUAGGUGCCAAUAAAUACCUGCUGACUGGGUGGCUGAAGGGACUGCGCUGGCAUCCCAAGGAAUUUUGGGAUCCACCACCCUCGAGACCGUGCUGGGCGGGAAGCAUGACCCCACACUGUGGGAUGGGGAGCCUGGUGGCUGCCGGCUGGCGCGCACCCCAAGCCCUUUCCUGGGCUCAGCUGUGAGCUCAGGACGGUUUAGACGCAGCAGCAAUGAUUUUAAGAGUUGCCGUGUUAAACGGUGAUAGCCUGUGACGGUGCUGUGUGCGGAAACAUCCGAUUUUAUUGCCGCUGGGUGGACAGCGCCGUCUAGACGCCGCUCACCCUUCUCACCUUCGCAGUUGUCUGUGUGGAAGACGGGAGAGGCAGGGGCACCACGCCACUGUCCCCAAGACCGGCCCCCAGGCACUGCGCGGAAGAGGCCGUGGCCUGUGAGGUGGCCCUUCCCUGCCCUGGACAGGCUGUGGAGGGGCUGCAGGCGGAGGCUGGGCUUGGGAGUGCUUGAAGGAUCACUGGGCUGUGGAGGGGCCCGCAGGCCGCCUGGGGACCUGGGGAGGGAAGCUCCGGGCCUUUCUCUGGCUCUGCAGACGCACGGCCUGGGUUCAAAUGCCAGCUCCACCACUUCCUGGCUGUGUGGCCUUGGACAUGUGUCUUACCCUCUCUGAGCCUUAAAUUUCCUUCUCUGGAAAAUCAAUGCUUCAUCAAAUAAAAAGUGAUCAUGAACAGGCAGUUCCUCAAAUGAUUAAAUAUGGAAUUACCAUGCAACCUGGCAAUUUCUGUUCCGGGUGUGCCCAAGAGGAAUGAAAAUGUGUGUCCACACAGAACUGUGGACUCGGGUGUCCACAGCAGCAUCGUUCACAAAAGCCAAAGGUGUAGACAUCCCAAGUAUCCCACAGAUAAGCAGAUAAAAUGUGGCCUCUUCAUAUGGUGGAAUAUUAUUCAGCCAUGAAAAGGAAUGACACAGCCGGGCGCGGUGGCUCACACCUGUAAUCCCAGCACUUUGGGAGGCUGAGGCAGGCAGAUCAGGAGGUUGGGAGUUUGAGACCGGCCUGAUCAACAUGAUCAACACGGAGAAACUCUGUCUCUACUAAAAAUACAAAAAUUAGCCGGGCAUGGUGGUGGGCGCCUGUAGUCCCAGCUACUCAGAAGGUUGAGGCAGGAGAAUCGCUUGAACCCGGGAGGUGGGGCUUGCAGUGAGUAGAGAUCACGCCGUUGCGCUCCAGCCUGGGCAACAGAGCAACAUUCUGUCUCAAAAAAAAUGACAUUCUGACACACGUGGAUGAACAUUGAAGACAUCACACCAAGUGAAAUAAGCCAGACACAAAAUGACAAACAUCAUAGGAUCAUUAGAUGAGAUUUUCAGCACAGGUGUUGACCCUGGAUAAAUGGAAGCAUGUGUCACACGCUGUUCCCUACGUCAGUGCUCGUGGCAGCUUGACUUACAGUAGCCCCGAGCUGGAAACGGCCCACGUGUUCACCGACAGGAGAACAGCUAAACCACCGCGGACGUUCAGACCAUGAGACAUGACUCAACCGCACCAGGGAUGAGUGAGCUGCGGACGCGGAAGUGCGGUGAAUGUCAAGGCCAUUGUGCCGGGUGGGAGAAGCCAGAGGAAAACAGCGCAUGCGGCUGAUCCCGCUCACACGCCAUCCUGGGGCCUCGGAUUCACCCACCGUGAUGGA
rnacentral:lncRNA from 1 species